rnacentral:tRNA from 1 species
GGGGUUGUGGCUCAGUGGUAGAGCGCUCAGGAAGUAACUGCGAGACCCUGGGUUUAAUCCUCAGCACCACA